AUGUCAGCAGUCCUUGAGUUUGAAGAAGUGGCCGGAACAGGGUCCUUGCCAGGUGUUCGUGGACACCAGAGGGCUAGGGAGUGGGGGACAAGACCACCACUCAAAGUGAAACCGAAAACUGCCCACUCAAAGCCCGAGCGAGCAUCAUGGAACAGCUUUUUAUUAUGUAUAGUAAUGGCCCAGGCAUGGGAGACUCCUGCACCUUGGAAGGCUGUGUCCUGUCCUCAUCUGCUAAUGCCUGCAAUGACUAGUGACAACUUGUUGCCAAUUUUUUUGCUACUUCCUCAAUUGUGCAAUAAACUUUACAGAUUAAUUCAGUCUGUCUUUUUAAUUCCGGGUUACGUCAUUAGCUCACGGGGCUGGGCGUGGAAAAGACCAGCUCCUGUCACUCCUUGUGCCUUGCCUGUUCUUCAGGCCUGGAUUCAGGGUGAUGGAAGUGGACAGAAAGGGCUGGUAGCCUUUGUGUAUUUAGGACUUGUGAGAGUUGAUGUUGCUGAACAGUCAAGGUCAGGAUUUGGGAAGGUGCCUUGAGUCAGCUUUGGUGUGAGGUUGGUCCUGUGUCAAUAAAGAAGGCUAGGGUGUCCCAGAGUUCUAGGACCAGUUGCAGGGCUUCCUAGGAAGUGAGACCUUGUUGCUAAAACUAUUGAGGUGAAUGAAUGGGCAAAGGGACUGGCAUGUAAAAUGCAUGGCAUCCUGACAGAAUACUGUAGAAAUGGGGAAGUAGUUGCCAUGGGAACUGGGGUAUGCUAAGGAGGUUUUGGAGGCCUUUGAGUUAUAGAAGUACUUCCAUUGGGUGGGAGGGCAGGGAGUGGUGGAAGAGAACCCUUUUGAGGAAUAACCAUUGGGUACCAACAGUGGCAAAAGAGAAUGGCAAAAAUGAAAGUGUGCCCUGGGUGUUGGUGGCACAUGCCGUUAACCCCAGCACUCGGGAGGCAGAGGGAGGUGGAUCUCUUCGAGACCAGCCUGGUCUACAAAGAGCUAGCUCCAGGACAGCCUCCAAAAGCCACAGAGAAACACUGUCUUGAAAAACAAAACAAAACAAAAGGGUGCAAUUACUGGUAGGUUUGUAACUAGGACUUUGUUAUUUAAGAAAUUAAGGACCUGUGGGAUGACUUACUGGGUAAACUUGCUGAGUUUGAUUCUCAGAAAAUAAACAUGUAAACAAAUAGUAAAUUUGAAAAGUUAAAUUUUUUUUAAGAUUUUUAUUAUGUAUACAACAUUCUGCUUCCAUGUAUAUCUGCACACCAGAAGAGGGCACCAGAUCUCAUUACGGAUGGUUGUGAGCCACCAUGUGGUUGCUGGGAAUUGAACUCAGGACCUCUGGAAAAACAGCCAGUGCUCUUAACCUCUGAGCCAUCUCCCUAGCCCCGAAAAGUUAAAGAGAAUUUCUAAAUAUUUUUAGCUUUAUAAAUGUCUGGGCAGAGGUCUGCACAUGAAUGCAGUUGCUCACAGAGACUAGGAGAGAGCAUAUGAUCCCCUGGACUGGCCAUAUAGGUGUGCUGUGAGCCACCUGAUGUGAAUGCUAGGAACUGAACUUGGGUCCUCUGCAAGAGCAGUACUCAUUCUUAACUAAUGAGGCAUCAGUUCAGGUCUGUGAGGAGGCUUUUAACUCAGUCUGUUAGCCAGUCUGUAGGUGUGGGCCGUUAAGAUUCCCCUAGGGUUGUGGGAACACAGAAGGUAAAUAAAUUGUGUGGGUUAGUGCCAGUGGCCAUGUCAGAGGAGCAACAGGUGGCAAUUGACUUCAGGAGUUGGGCCCACCAGAAUGCAGGGCACUGAUGGGUGAAACUCUGAUAGCAAGGCCCCGAAUGUUUCGGCUCCAGAAUGUCUUGUCACGGCUGUGCCUUUAUUGUCACUUUUCUCUGGUAUCUGACAUGGUGUGAACGGGUUUUAGGGGGAUCCCCACUGCCUGUAAUGUAAUGUGAUUGUCUCAUGGAAAUAACCAGUUCCACUGGGCGUUUUUACCGUGGAUUAUUAGGAAGAUGAUUUCCUCCUAAACUGUACUAUUUAAGCAAUGGUUUUAUACAAUAAUAGUCUUAGUUUAACCAAGGGAUUAUGAUAGAGGUUGGUUUAAUAGAAAAGUUAAUGUAGGUAAAGGUAGGAUACAGGGUUACCUCUGCCCCUGAUAAAGCAGGGACUACAAAGGGUAGAAAUAAGAACAAAGAAGCGUCACACAGCUAGGACUUCUGAGUUUUUCUUGAGCUGUAUAGACUGGUUUAGGUUAAUGAUUAAGGAGAACAAUAAGUCCCAGGAAUUAGCUCAAGUUAUUUUUGAUGUUGUGAAAUGUGUGCACGGGUUUCGGUGUGCAGAGCUUUACUUCAUGUAACUAAAAACCAAAGAAUUGGAUGGUUAGUUGCGAUAAUUGGACAGGAUCUAAAAUAUGAAAAGUGGAACUAGUGACCUGUUUUUCUGGCAAUUAUAAAAACUGCCUAUGGAAACUGUUAUGGCUGAAAGUCUCCUGAUCCAUGACAAGUCUAAAAGAUAAAUGUUUAACUGUGGAUUCUUGGAGAUAAUUUGUUUUUCACCUGUAAUAGUAAAAUGUUUAAUCAUGUAAGGGAUAUGGAAAACAUGUUGUGUUGUACUUUUAUUCAUUGAAAUCAUUUGCUUAAUAAAAUGUAACCACAUUGUAAUUUUCAUAUUGUUUGAAAGAUUCUGUUGGGGCAUAUAAGCUGUAAGGGAAAAAAAUAAGUCAGAAGGAAACACCAGCAAAGAUGGAGGAGAGAAGAAAUCAAGACAUAGUGUAGAAGGAAGUUGUCAGCAAAGAGCAAGAAAGGAAACAUCACAGUAGAAGAACAGAAUAGAAAAAGAAUAGAGUAGAACAAGCAACAAGAAGGAUAAUAAAAUGAGAAGCUGCAUUUUUCUUGCCUACUCUGCAUCUCGUUCCCAGUGUCUGACCUGCUGAAGGCUGGUCCUGCAAGUGGAGUAGGCCUUUUCCAUCCUGAGAAGGUACCAGCUGACAUUAGUCUUAACACUUGUUAAUAUUGCUUUCACCACUGUGGUUUAUAAACACCCUGGAUAUCUGUCAUUUGAGCUAGAGAAGUAAUAGGUCUUCUUGGACCUAUUACUUCAAGGAAUCUUCUUGAAUUUUUAGUGAAGACUCUUAAUGUUACUGGGCCUCCUAAUGUUACUGGACACUUACCAAGGCUGGAAUUGACAGUAACUUUUUGGCUUUGGGCAUUCCAUUAGCAUUGGUUACUGUACAGGUCUAUCUAAUAAAGAGUCCUGAAUGAUCAAGGCAGAAAAUGGAGUCCCACUAUUGGAAGAAAGUUAACAUUGGUAUUGAAAGAAAGUUAACAUUGGUACCUGUCACACCAAGAGUGACUUGAAGCAUCUUGGUGGCCAUCUGUAUUCAUGUGAGUGGGACUUUUACCGUGGAAUCUUGGGCAGUAUCUUUAAAAAUACUGGAGCAAGGCUUUCCUUCUCCAUAGAGGAGGAAAAGUUCUGUUUCUUAGAAUGCACUGCCCACGGUGGUCUUUGCCCAGCACACUGCUUUCCCAGAGAGUGGCAGCCCUGCCCCGUUUAGAAUCCUCCUCAGCAAUGGGUUUCUCUGAGGUAUUAGUUUAUAUCUACCUGGGUCAAAGUUAUUAAUUUGACUUACUGUGUUUUGAUCAUUUCUUCUGGUCCUUUUAGACUGUACUUCUAUUAUUGAAAAUCCCCAAAGCUGAAUUAAAAAGUUACCUUGCCAUAUCUGGGGCUCCACUGUCUCCUUUGCUGCAUAUAAUGUCUGGAACAGAUUGAUAAAAUGAGCACCCAGAAGUAUCUGACAUUAAUACCUUUAAUUGUAGUAAACUUAAUCAUACACAUGCCAUUGCUCUUUUGCAAAGAGCUUAUAUCUCAUUUUUAUUUUUUUUUUAUUGCCACUUUAGAAAAAUCCUCUACAUUAGAACAAAAUGAAAUCUUUUCUGGACUGAAAGCAUUCUCACCCCACCCUACUCCCCUUUUUGAGUUGUGUGCUUGUCUUCACAGGUGAACAAGUUAAGGCACAGACGAGAGCCUUUGCCUUAUUAACCCUUUCAUUCCAGGAGCGGCGGUACCCAGUGAGAGCAGACACCUUGCCAUCAGCAGUUUGUUUCUUAAAGAUCUUCACGUCUGUUUGAAGACAGACAGUGGCAGGGCAAGAGCCAGAGCAGUAACUAGUUAGGGAACAGACUUCGUCAGUCGUGUGAGAGGCACCUGCAACUUGGGUUAUGGAGGUGGAGACGGAAGACAGGAGCUCUUGGUGUAGGUAUGGAAGGAAGAGGCAGAAUCUUAGAGAAUGAAGCUAGAGUCAGCCAAGCACGUAAAACACAAUACCACAUUUGUGCUGAAAGUGGCUAUGUAUCUGCUUAGAUAUUUAGAUUUAC
rnacentral:lncRNA from 1 species